GUUAGGCCUAAUGGUUCAAGCCAGCAAUCCUUAUUAUUGGGGAGACUGAGGCUGGUGGAUCUCUUGAGUUCAGGAAUUCUGAGCUGUGUAGAGGGGCUAAAGCCAAUAAGUGUAUGCACUAAGUUCAGCACCAGUAUGGUGAGUGCCCAGGAGCAAAAGGCUAGUAGGCUGCCUAAGGAGGAGUGGAUAGGCCCACAUCAGAAAUGGAGCCAGUCAAAGCUUCCACACAGAUCAGCACUGGGACCAUGCCUGUAAGUGGCCACUUCAUUUCCGGACUGAGUGAGAUAGGGAUCCUCAGCCUCUU
ensembl:misc_RNA Metazoa_SRP Metazoan signal recognition particle RNA